UACGUAGGGUGCAAGCGUUGUCCGGAAUUAUUGGGCGUAAAGGGCUCGUAGGCGGUUCCAUCGCGUCGGGAGUGAAAAAGCUGGGGCUCCAACCCCCAGUCCUGCUUUCGAUACGGGUGGACUAGAGGUAGGCAGGGGAGAACGGAAUUCCUGGUGUAGCGGUGAAAUGCGCAGAUAUCGGAAGGAACAUCAGUGGCGAAAGCGGCUUCCUGGACCAGAACUGACGAUCAGGCUCGAAAGCGUGGGAGCA
rnacentral:rRNA from 1 species